GCCGGGAUAGCUCAGUUGGUAGAGCAGAGGACUGA
rnacentral:tRNA from 2 species